rnacentral:rRNA from 1 species
AUUGAACGCUGGCGGCAUGCCUAACACAUGCAAGUCGAGCGAGCGGCGGACGGGUGAGUAAUGUCUGGGGAUCUUCCCGAUCGAGGGGGCUAACUACUGGAAACGGUGGCUAAUACCGCAUACUAUCGGAUUAACCCAUAUGGGAUUAGCUAGUAGGUGGGGUAAAUGCUCACCUAGGCGACGAUCCCUAGCUGGUCUGAGAGGAUGAUAAGCAACACUGCGACUGAGACACGGCCCAGACUCCUACGGGAGGCAGCCGGGGGGAAUAUUGCACAAUGGGCGCAAGCCUGAUGCAGCCAUGCCGCGUGUGUGAAGAAGGCCUUAGGGUUGUAAAGUACUUUCAGCGGGGAGGCGUUACUCGCAGAAGAAGCAACGGCAAACUACGAGCCAGCCGCCGCGGUAAUUC